GCCUCCGUAGCUCAAUGGAUUAGAGUACUCGGCUUCGAACCGAGUGGUUGGGGGUUCGAGUCCCUCCGGAGGCGCCA
rnacentral:tRNA from 1 species